UACGUAGGGGGCAAGCGUUAUCCGGAUUCACUGGGUUUAAAGGGUGCGUAGGCGGAACGAUAAGUCAGUGGUGAAAGCCCCGAGCUCAACUUGGGAAUUGCCAUUGAUACUGUUGUUCUUGAGUUCGGUUGAGGUAGGCGGAAUGUUGCAUGUAGCGGUGAAAUGCUUAGAUAUGCAACAGAACACCGAUUGCGAAGGCAGCUUACCAAGCCGACACUGACGCUGAUGCACGAAAGCGUGGGGAUCAAACAGG
rnacentral:rRNA from 1 species